GUCGCCGUCGUCGUCGUCUUCGUCACCACCACCAAUUUCAGUUUUUUCACCAAUAUCAGCUGCAAACAGCUCACUCGUGUCCAUAGUGGAUGUAGAACAGUGCCAUCAACCAAUGGAACUUCUUGCAUAGCAUAAUGCAAGUGCAGUAGCUUGCAAGGCAGAUAGAGUGUGGAGCUGUGGACACUAAAAAGGAGAGUGCCAAUUAGAGAAAUUGGCACAUUUCAAGAAAGCUUUUAACAAUGUCAACAAGAAUACACUCUUUGAAAUUAUGAAG